rnacentral:misc_RNA from 1 species
GAUUCUCUUCUUUCCUUUCCGAUUCCUUUAGGAUCGGACGGUUUAGUUCCUCGAAGUUAUUUUGUACAGGUAUUUACUUAGCAUAAUGAAGGGGUCCAAGGGUAAGGGAACAGCAAGAGUCUCCAAAGAAGCUUUGAAGCCAGUUGAUGAUAGAAAGGUUGGGAAGCAAAAGGCUGCCGUCAAAGCUGACAAGGGUAUCAAACGACCAACAAAGAAAGAUUUGAAAGCCAAGAAAGAUCCCAACAAACCUAAGAGGCCUCCGAGUGCUUUCUUUGUUUUCCUUGAG